UGCCAUCGAUCUCAUAGGG
rnacentral:piRNA from 1 species